ACAUAAAUGCAUUUAAUUGAAAAUCUAGUUAAAAUAUCUCUUGGGCUACAAAUAUAUUUAAUUAAACAUUUAGUUAUGAGAUCUUGUAGUAGAAAAUCAUAAACUGUGGAGGUGGAGUGGCACUUGUUUUCCUUAACACUUGAGCACCAUAGUAAGGCAUGGUACUGGCUUCAAUUCUGCAUACUGCACCAUUCAAAGGGAAAGUAAUAUUACUUUGAUGCCUCUCGGCACUGUCUUCUUUGUUCUUUG
rnacentral:misc_RNA from 1 species